AAUAGAUACCCGGGUAGUCCACGCCCUAAACUAUGUCAACUAGUUGUCGGGGAAGAAAUUCCUUGGUAACGCAGCUAACGCGUGAAGUUGACCGCCUGGGGAGUACGGCCGCAAGGUUAAAACUCAAAGGAAUUGACGGGGACCCGCACAAGCGGUGGAUUAUGUGGAUUAAUUCGAUGCAACGCGAAAAACCUUACCUACCCUUGACAUGUACGGAAUUCCGCNAGAGAUGUGGAAGUGCCCGAAAGGGAACCGUAACACAGGUGCUGCAUGGCUGUCGUCAGCUCGUGUCGUGAGAUGUUGGGUUAAGUCCCGCAACGAGCGCAACCCUUGCCAUUAGUUGCUACAUUCAGUUGGGCACUCUAAUGGGACCGCCGGUGACAAACCGGAGGAAGGUGGGGAUGACGUCAAGUCCUCAUGGCCCUUAUGGGUAGGGCUUCACACGUAAUACAAUGGUCGGUACAGAGGGCUGCCAACCCGCAAGGGGAGCUAAUCCCAGAAAGCCGAUCGUAGUCCGGAUUGUAGUCUGCAACUCGACUGCAUGAAGCCG
rnacentral:rRNA from 1 species